rnacentral:snRNA from 1 species
GCAUCUUCUCGGCCUUCGUGGCUAAGAUCAAGUGUAGUAUCUGUUCUUAUCAGCUUAAUCUCUGGUAGUGAGGCCAAUGUGCCUCACAACUCAAGAUUAGACUUAUUUCUUGUGGGCGCCCUGGCUCCACUUCCCCUUUGCAGCUGAGCUGUGGGGGUGGUCCAGGGAGCAGUGAUCAGCUUCACAUUGCACACCCUGUGGAGUUCUUCAAAUGGUCCACCCUUC